UACGUAGGUGGCAAGCGUUGUCCGGAUUUAUUGGGCGUAAAGCGAGCGCAGGCGGUUCAUUAAGUCUGAUGUGAAAGCCCCCGGCUCAACCGGGGAGGGUCAUUGGAAACUGGGAGACUUGAGUGCAGAAGAGGAGAGUGGAAUUCCAUGUGUAGCGGUGAAAUGCGUAGAUAUAUGGAGGAACACCAGUGGCGAAGGCGGCUCUCUGGUCUGUAACUGACGCUGAGGCUCGAAAGCGUGGGGAGCGAACAGGAUUAGAUACCCUGGUAGUCCACGCCGUAAACGAUGAGUGCUAAGUGUUGGAGGGUUUCCGCCCUUCAGUGCUGCAGCAAACGCAUUAAGCACUCCGCCUGGGGAGUACGACCGCAAGGUUGAA
rnacentral:rRNA from 1 species